rnacentral:rRNA from 1 species
CACAUGCAAGNCNAACGGUAACAGGUCUUCGGAUGCUGACGAGUGGCGAACGGGUGAGUAAUACAUCGGAACGUGCCUAGUAGUGGGGGAUAACUACUCGAAAGAGUGGCUAAUACCGCAUGAGAUCUACGGAUGAAAGCAGGGGAUCGCAAGACCUUGUGCUACUAGAGCGGCUGAUGGCAGAUUAGGUAGUUGGUGGGAUAAAAGCUUACCAAGCCGACGAUCUGUAGCUGGUCUGAGAGGACGAUCAGCCACACUGGGACUGAGACACGGCCCAGACUCCUACGGGAGGCAGCAGUGGGGAAUUUUGGACAAUGGGCGAAAGCCUGAUCCAGCAAUGCCGCGUGCAGGAUGAAGGCCUUCGGGUUGUAAACUGCUUUUGUACGGAACGAAAAGCUUCGGGUUAAUACCCUGGAGCCAUGACGGUACCGUAAGAAUAAGCACCGGCUAACUACGUGCCAGCAGC